rnacentral:rRNA from 1 species
UACGGGGGGGGCAAGCGUUGUUCGGAAUUACUGGGCGUAAAGGGCUCGUAGGCGGCCAACUAAGUCGGACGUGAAAUCCCCAGGCUCAACCUGGGAACUGCGUCCGAUACUGGAUGGCUUGGAUUUGGGAGAGGGAUGCGGAAUUCCAGGUGUAGCGGUGAAAUGCGUAGAUAUCUGGAGGAACACCGGUGGCGAAGGCGGCGUUCUGGACUGCAACUGACACUGAUGAACGAAAGCCAGGGGAGCAAACGGG